rnacentral:rRNA from 1 species
UUUCGCAAUGCCCGAAAGGGUGACAAUGCGACGCCGCGUGUGUGAUGAAGGUCUUCGGAUUGUAAAACACUGUCGGCCGGAAGGAAUCUCCGGAGGUUUAACAAAUCUUCGGGGUGACAGUACCGGCAAAGGAAGCCACGGCUAACUCCGUGCCAGCAGCCGCGGUAAUACGGAGGUGGCAGGCGUUACUCGGAUUGAUUGGGUGUAAAGGGUGUGUAGGUGGCGGUUUAAGUCGAAUGUGAAAUCCCUUGGCUCAACCAUGGAACUGUCCCCCGGACUGCACGGCUCGAGGAAGGAAGGGGAGAAUGGAAUUCCCGGUGUAGCGGUGAAAUGCGUAGAUAUCGGGAGGAACGCCGGUGGCGAAAGCGAUUCUCUGGUCCUUUCCUGACACUGAGGCGCGAAAGCUAGGGGAGCAAACGGGAUUAGAUACCCCGGUAGUCCUAGCCGUAAACGAUGGGCACUAAGUAGAGGGGUUUU